rnacentral:SRP_RNA from 1 species
GCCGGGCAUGGUGAUGCAUGCCUGUAAUCCCAGCUACUUGGGAGGCUGAGGCAGGAGAAUCGCUUGAGCCUGGGAGGCGGAGGUUGCAAUGAGCCGAGAUUGAGCCACUGCACUCCAGCCUAGGCAACAGAAUGAGACUCUGUCUCAA